rnacentral:rRNA from 1 species
UACGUAGGGUGCUAGCGUUGUCCGGAAUCAUUGGGCGUAAAGCGCGCGUAGGCGGCCAGAUAAGUCCGGUGUGAAAGUCACAGGCUCAACCUGGGAAUGCCGCUGGAAACUGUCUGGCUUGAGUGCGGAAGGGGCGAGUGGAAUUCCUGGUGUAGCGGUGAAAUGCGCAGAUAUCAGGAGGAACACCAAUGGCGAAGGCAGCUCGCUGGAACGGUACUGACACUGAGGCGCGAAAGCGUGGGGAGCGAACAGG